ACACUUACCUGGCAGGGGAGAUACCAUGAUCAAAAAGGUUGUUUUCCUAAGGCAAGGUUUAUCCAUUGCAUUCUGGAUGUGCUGACUCCUGCAAUUUACCCAAACUGGGAAGCUCAACUACAAAAUUUGCAAUAAGAGGACUCUGUGUUCAUGCUCUGCCCUG